rnacentral:rRNA from 1 species
CCUACGGGAGGCAGCAGUAGGGAAUAUUGGACAAUGGGCGCAAGCCUGAUCCAGCCAUCCCGCGUGAAGGAUUAAGGCCCUCUGGGUUGUAAACUUCUUUUCUCUGGGAAUAAAAACCGGUAUUCAUAUUGGCUUGAAGGUACCAGAGGAAUAAGCACCGGCUAACUCCGUGCCAGCAGCCGCGGUAAUACGGAGGGUGCAAGCGUUAUCCGGAUUCACUGGGUUUAAAGGGUGCGUAGGUGGCUUUGUAAGUCAGUGGUGAAAUGCCGCAGCUCGACUGCGGAACUGCCAUUGAUACUGCUUAGCUUGAAUCACGUCGAGGUGGAUGGAAUAAUACAUGUAGCGGUGAAAUGCUUAGAUAUGUAUUAGAACACCGAUUGCGAAGGCAGUUCACUAGGCGUGUAUUGACACUGAGGCACGAAAGCGUGGGGAUCAAACAGGAUUAGAUACCCUGGUAGUCCACGCCCUAAACGAUGUAAACUCGACAUUAGCGAUAUACUGUUAGUGUCCAAGCGAAAGCGUUAAGUUUACCACCUGGGAAGUACGACCGCAAGGUUGAAACGUCAAAUGAAUUGACGG